rnacentral:rRNA from 1 species
AAGAAGAGGAACCAUGAACUUUUUUAAAUUAAAGUCUCCUUUUAAUUUAUGUAUAUGGUGGCACAUAAUCGGAAGCCCCGACUGUUUACUAAAAACACAACUAUCUGCAAUUAUGAAAAUAAUAGUAUAGGUAGUGAGAUUUGCCCAAUGCCAUAUUAAUAAGUAAUAAUAAUAGGUAACUGUUUCUUUACAAAAAAUUGGUUAAUAGCGGUCUUAACUAUGAGGAUCCUAAGGUAGCAAAAUAAAUUGGCCAUUAAAUGUGGUCCAGUAUCAAUAAUUUAACGAUGGCUUCACUGUCUCUACAACUUGCUCAGUGAAAUUGAAUUACCCGUGCAGAUGCGGGUUACCUCAAAGAGGACGGGAAGACCCUAU